CAGUUCCGGUCCACAACCCCGAUAGAACGCGAGGUGCAUCCCGAGCGCCCAGAGAGAAAUCUCUGCUGUCCAUCGAUGGACCGGCCGCCACCGGCAAUGUACCUCUCGCCGGAAUCAUACACCCAACUCCUUCUAAGCUUCUCCUCCAUCCCUGAUCUAGAUCCAAAUCGCGGUUGGACGCAACAAGAAGAACAAGAGGAGGGGGUGUUGCUGAUUUGGCCGGUAGCGGCGGCGAUUGGGCAAGCUGGAGUGAGACUGAACAUGAAUGCCAGUCCGACUCCUCCACACCAGAUCCAUCCGCACAGAGUGCCGAGGCCCACCGCCAAGUGAAUCGUGAGAACCAAGAUCUCCGGCGAGACUCGCCGCCGCGAGAUUUCGCCGCUGCAGAUAUUUCUUACCAGCAGGAAUAGGAAACCAACACUACAAACGUGCUGCAAUCAGAACGGUCUCCAAGUGACCAAUGUACAUGGAAAGGAAGGAUACGUCGUGGGGAAAUACCAUAUCAGCAUCAGUCUAAAGAGGGAAGGGUUUGUGCGCUUGAAAAAGCAAUGCGUAGCUUUGUUGAACGGAAGUCUGGACAAGUGGUCGCCCCUGAGAUUGGAAGAGUAUUCGACUCAAUCGCAGAGGCAUUUGAGUUCUACAACCACUAUUCUUGGGAGAUUGGGUUUGGCAUCCGAUAUGGUCAAUCUAGGACAAAUGCACAGAAAAGCAGAACCGUUCAAGACAUCGUUUGUGGUUGUGCGGUUAGUAUAAAUAACCGAAAGUGUUGUGUUGGCUGCUAUCCUUGUUAUUCCACCAUACUAAUCUGUGCAUUUGUCCUAACAGGCCAAAGAAAGAAAACACGAAGUCAGUAGCAUGCAACUGCCAAGCAUUGAUCAGACUACACCGUACAGCGGAUAAUGGAUGGUAUAUACACGAUUUCAGACCUGAACACAACCACCAUUUGUCAUCAUCGUGCGGCAAGAAACUACAUUGGCCAUCACACAGGCACAUUGACACACACACCAAAGAUAUAGUGAAGCACUUGAGGAGCAACAACAUUGGGAUAACCAAGGUUUUUUGUGUCAUCGCAAGCUUCUUUGGAUCAAUGGAGAGUGUACCAUUCAACAAAAUAUCUCUCAAGUAUAUGUGCAAGAGGAUGAACUAAGAGACUGCAGAUGAUGACAUCAGGAAAACAGUUGAGCUCUUCUCUGAACUUAAGAAGAAUGACCCAAUGUUUGCUAACAGUGUCCUUGUUGACAGCCAUAGCAAAAUUCAGGUCCUUAUGUGGACCAAUGGAAGGAGUAGAUACCAAUACAAAAAAUUUGGAGAUUCUAUCACAUUCGACACCACAUAUCGUACAAACCAGUACGAUAUGCCAUUCGGUCUAUUUGUUGGUGUCAACCAUCAUUUCCAGAGCAUAAUAUUAGGAGGUGUUAUGAUGAGAAACGAGAAGCAAGAAUUAUUCGAGUGGGUAUUCAAGGAAUUUGUUUCAUUGAUGGGAGGUAAAGCACCUGUAACUAUCCUAACAGUAACUAUCCUAACAGACCAAUGCCCUGCAAUGGAGUUGGCUAUUGCUAAAGUGUUGCCAGGAACGAAACACCGGUGGUGCAAAUGGACCUCAUUUAUGCACAUCUCGCACUUGAAAUAUCCAUGACAGUGAACUCUCCAAUACCUGAAAGAUGCUUAGAACUUAUCUUCAAUGCGUGCCGCACUUAAUAUACAGGGGACGAAGAACUUGUGUCAUUUGCAUAUCUCUUUUGAAGUACUUUGUCAACACACGUAUCACACUUUAAAGAUCGAUGCAGUCAUGCAGAAGAACUAAAAGACAAUAUUCUUA